rnacentral:rRNA from 1 species
CAUACCACUUGUUGCCUCGGCGGAUCAACCCGCUCCCGGUAAAACGGGACGGCCCGCCAGAGGACCCCUAAACUCUGUUUCUAUAUGUAACUUCUGAGUAAAACCAUAAAUAAAUCAAAACUUUCAACAACGGAUCUCUUGGUUCUGGCAUCGAUGAAGAACGCAGCAAAAUGCGAUAAGUAAUGUGAAUUGCAGAAUUCAGUGAAUCAUCGAAUCUUUGAACGCACAUUGCGCCCGCCAGUAUUCUGGCGGGCAUGCCUGUUCGAGCGUCAUUUCAACCCUCAAGCACAGCUUGGUGUUGGGACUCGCGUUAAUUCGCGUUCCUCAAAUUGAUUGGCGGUCACGUCGAGCUUCCAUAGCGUAGUAGUAAAACCCUCGUUACUGGUAAUCGUCGCGGCCACGCCGUUAAACCCCAACUUCUGAAUGUUGACCUCGGAUCAGGUAGGAAUACCCGCUGAACUUAAGCAUAUCA